AGUCCCGAGCGUCCGUCUUGUCUGUGCGCUACGUCCGUUCACACGCUUCCUGGGUUUGUAACUGGAAUUGAAGCGCCAGCGUCCGUCACUGCUAUCAAUGCCUCAGUGCAACGCGCCUGGGGGGGGAAUCUCGGCACCGUUCGCCCGCCAACUCGGUGUGUGCCCUAGUGGCUACAGCUGUCCCGAAGUCUGUUCUGGAAAAGGCCUGAGAGGGGUGUGGCCUAGGUCGUGGGAGCCCCGCAUCUCUCGCGUCCUGGUGAAGAAGAAUAGUGUCCCCAAAGGAACAUUUCUCCUUGUGAUGUUUGGAACCUGGCUGUCUCUUAAGUACGCUGUGUUCCCAGCAGCUCACCACAGAAAGUGAUGCCCCACAUACCACAGGUGGCAUCAGCAUUGUCCAUCUUUGACUGGUCUGUCCAGAAGAUAGUUGAAGAAUACAUCCUUCAAGUGGAUUUAACUGAAGGAAACAGAGCAGAUUCACAGCAAAUUCUUCACAGGGACUUUCUUCUACAUGUGUAUUUCAAGGAGAUGGUUUAGUUGACUACUAUAGAGGUAAAAAUUCUAGAGAUAUGGAACAUAACAAACAGUCCUAUUUUUAAACUACUGAUUACAAUUAUGGUAUGCCUAUAGGUAGCAGAGCUGAACAGAAAAAGAAUAUUAUAAUUUACUGUCAAGAAAAGACUGCAAUUAGUGCUGAGUAGUUCACUUUAAAAACUGCCCACUAUUUAUUUAUAU